CAAUAGCGUAUAUUUAAGUUGUUGCAGUUAAAAAGCUCGUAGUUGGAUUUCGGUUGAGAACGGCCGGUCCGCCGUUUGGUGUGCACUGGCUGGUUUCAACUUCCUGUAGAGGACGCGCUCUGGCUUCACGGCUGGACGCGGAGUCUACGUGGUUACUUUGAAAAAAUUAGAGUGUUCAAAGCGGGCUUACGCUUGAAUAUUUCAGCAUGGAAUAACACUAUAGGACUCCUGUCCUAUUUCGUUGGUCUCGGGAUGGGAGUAAUGAUUAAGAGGAACAGUUGGGGGCAUUCGUAUUUCAUUGUCAGAGGUGAAAUUCUUGGAUUUAUGAAAGACGAACUUCUGCGAAAGCAUUUGCCAAGGAUGUUUUCAUUAA
rnacentral:rRNA from 1 species